rnacentral:tRNA from 2 species
GCUACGUAGCUCAGCUGGUUAGAGCACAUCACUCAUAAUGAUGGGGUCACAGGUUCGAAUCCCGUCGUAGC